rnacentral:lncRNA from 1 species
GGUGAAAGUAUUGGAGAAGGGUCAGGUGGUCGAAGAGGAAUAACAGCUCAGAUGAUCCAGAAUCAAGAAAGAUCAAGGGUAGAGAUGACACUUCCUAUGUCAAACACAUCAUUCAAGCGACCACAGAUUAAAUAGAGAAGCUGUCUGCUCUCUCUCUUCUGUCAUUAUAAAAUUCUCUUAGAAUCUGAAAUUGUGGUAUCCAUCAAUGUCAAAAAAGAAACAGCUGAGUCAUGGUAUUGACUCCUCCUGGUAUAGAUAAAUAACUAAUAAAUACCACUCUUCUAUCUAUGUAUCGUUGUGGUGUUACCUAUCUCCAAAUGCUAAGACUUUGGCUUAACCUUGAGUCGAAAUAAGUCUACUGUGUCAUGUAUGUUUUCGAAGAUGUAUGAUGUGUUACGCUAAUUGGUAAAAGGUUUUCAAUACAGAUUCGAGUAAGGAGUGUGACUUAUCCAAAAGCACAGGAGCCACCACCACGGUUACUGAAGUUUCAGAGCCACGAAUGAGAUAUCCAUCUUAGGUUUUUCUUGGCUUGAUGCUAAGAAGUUGUAAACGUUUGUCUCUUAUUGAUGAACAUACAAUCGAGUAUUUAUACAUACGAUGGCCAUAUCGUAUCAUCCCAAAAUAUAGGAGAUAACAACAAGCGUAACUGAUAUCGAAACUUAUCUACUAGUCUUCUAUCAUUAUCCUAAUACUCCCCCUCAAGAUGGUGCAUGUAGAUCGCGAAUGCCCAUCUUGCCCAGUAGAUAGCCAAACUGUUUGACUGACAAAGCUUUCGUUAAAAUGUCGGCCAACUGAUCUGUCGUUCGAACAUGAGACGUGACAAUCGACUGGUCCUGUACCGCAUCGCGAACAAAAUGACAGUCAGCUUCAAUAUGUUUCGUGCGUUCAUGAAGCACUGGAUUGGCAGCUAUGUGUAGUGCCGCCUUGCUGUCACAAUAUAGGUUCAUCGGUCUUGUUUGUCGUACUUCAAAUGUUUCAAGAAUCUCCUUCAUACAUUUUAGUUCACUCAACGUCAUUGCCAUUGCUCUAUAUUUAGCCUCUGCUGACGAUCUUGAAACAGUGUGUUGCUUCUUUGUCUUCCAUGACACAAUUGAGUCUCCUAACAUAACCAAGAAACCAGUAAGAGAGCGUCGCAUGAGAGGGCAUGCGGCCCAGUCUGAGUCGCAAAAGGCUGAAAUAUGUAGAUCGUUGUUGGCGCUUAAGAAAAUCCCUUGUCCAGGAACUCCUUUUAGAUAUCGAACCAACCGUAUCGCAGCUUCCCAAUGCUUGAGGCGAGGACUUUGCAAGAACUGCGCCAAUGUAUGGACAGCGUAACUGAUUUCUGGUUUCGUGACGGCCAAGUAAACAAGACGACCUACUAACCGUCGAUACGCAGUCGGAUCUGUAUAAAACUCACCAUCAAUGCGAGCCAAGUUGUGAUUCUGUUCCAUGGGUGUAGGUGUCGGCUUUGCUCCAAGCAGGCCACACUCUUUGACAAUGUCAAGAGCAUACUUCUUCUGAGACAGAUAGAUCCCCUCCUUUCCUUGUGACACUUCAAUGCCCAAGAAGUACCGCAACACACCCAAAUCUUUCAUGUGAAAACACCUACUCAAAUACGAUUUGAAGGAUGAAAUGAGAGUAGAAUCGUUUCCACCCACAAUCAAAUCGUCCACAUAUACCAGAACAAACAAUGUCGAUCCACCCCGAAUCAUAGUAAAUAAUGAUUAAUCCUUGUAGUUCUGUUUAAAACCAAAAUCAAGCAAAGCGUUGGACAAUUUCGAGAACCAGCACCGUGGGGAUUGUCGAAGUCCGUAGAUAGAUUUCUUGAGUUUGCAGACUCUCUUAUCAUCAGGAGUAGAGAAACUAGGAGGCAAUUUCAUGUAAACUUCUUCCUCAAGGUCCCCAUGCAAAAAUGCGUUAUGAACGUCCAUCUGAAACAGUUCCCAUCCCUUAGCCGCAGCUACUUCGAGAACGAUCCUUACCGUUGUCAUCUUGACAACAGGCGCAAACGUCGCCUAGUAAUCAAUGCCUUCUUCUUGAUUGUUCCCAAGAGCAACCAGUCUUGAUUUGUGUCGAUCAAUGGUUCCAUCCGCAUUGUACUUGAUCUUGUACACCCAUUUACAACCGAUGGCUGUCUUACCCGGAGGAAGCUCCGUGAUAGUCCAAGUGUCCCUUUCCUUCAAGGCAACGACCUCAAAUUUCAUAGAACCUCUCCAAACCUCAUGUUUAACCGCUUCUUUAUACGAAGUUGGUUCAAUAUUGUCCGUGAGUGUUGCAGCAAAAAUCUGCAUUGAGGGUGAGAGACGAUGAUGGGACAUGUAUUUAUCUAGAGGAUAUAAACACGUACCUGAAGACUUCGUUGUUCCAGAUGGAGAAACGUACGAGGGUUUAUCACUGAGACAAGCUGAAUACGUCACGUACUCGUUGAGCAAUACAGACGACUUCUUUGUUCUCAUUCCUCUACCCAAAGAUUCUUCGGGCACUGAAACCGGAACAGGAUUCUCAACACUCUGAGAAGGUGUAACAUCGAUAACUCCCCCUUGCUCAGUACUAACUCCCCCUUGCUCAGAGCUAGCUUCCCUUGCCUUGUUUCCCAAGUCACUAACAGGUGAAUCCAGAGAUGGUUCCAUACUUGCGGGAUCAUCAUCAAACAUCAAAGAUGUAGGUAAGUACACGGGCACAACUGUUGAAACUGUAUCAUCUUUCUCUGGUUGCGCAUAUGGAUAUUGGUCUUCUUGAAAAACAACAUCCCUCGAGACAAACAAGUUUUCUGUCUCUAAGUCAAACACAAGCCAUCCCUUCUUUCCCAUUGGAUAGCCAAGAAACACGCAACGGUUACUGCGAGGUUCAAAUUUGUCUUUAUCACGCGAGAUACGUCGAGCGAAACAGAGUGUGCCAAACACUCUCAAGUUAUCAUAGGAAGGAGGAGCACCAUAGAGAAGCUCAUACGGGGUCUUGUUUUUCAACAACGGCGUUGGAGUUCGAUUGAUCAAGUACGUAGCAGACAACACGCUUUCUCCCCUAAAUCUCUUUGGCAGAUUUCCUUGAAACAAUAGAGCUCGCGCUACAUUCAGAAUGUGUCUAUGCUUACGUUCAACCCUUCGGUUUUGUUGAGGUGUUUCUACACAAGAGGUCUGAUGAAUAAUUCCCUCGUCAGCGAAGAAUUGUCGUAGACAAGUGAACUCAGUGCCAUUGUCAGUGCGUAUGAUCUUGAUGUGCUUUUGAAAUUGUCUAUAGACAAAUACACAAAACGUUUUCAAAGCUCCUGGUGCUUCUUUCUUUUUCAAGAGCAAAACUGUCCAAACUGCUCGCGAGCAGUCGUCGACAAUGGUAAGAAAAUAACGAGCUCCACUUGUAGACGGUUCCCUAUAGGGUCCCCAAAGAUCACAAUGGAUUAAAUGAAACGGCUCAACUGUUUUAUUAUUACUCAACGAAAACGUGUCCCGAGUCUGUUUUGCUCGAAGACAAACACCACAAGAUUUUUCUAAAACUCCUAAGCUACUAGUAAAACCACCAGUUGAAGCCAACACCGAAAGUACUUUUGAAGAGGGGUGUCCCAUACGAUGAUGCCACAAGUCUCUGUCCUGAAGCUUGAUCGCACGACCAGCUUGUACUGCAACUGCACCUUCGUAGUGAUAAACCCCGUCACGCUCUCUACCCGCACCAAUCAAAGUCUUCGAAAUGAGGUCCUGUAUCACACAAAACCGUUUAGUAAACAGCACAAAACUCGCAAUGUCGCGGAGUAAAUGAGCAACAGAGAUAAGUGUAAUCGUGAGAGAAGGUGCAAGAAAGACAUGUCUCAAUGUGAGACGAUCGCCAAGGUUCAGGCUCCCAUGACUUGUAGCCCAAGUAAUCCGUCCUUUUGGCAAAGAAAUAGGACACGGUGCAAUAGUAACAAUGUCCGUGAGCAAACGAGCCUCCCCUAUCAUAUGAUGAGAAGCCCCAGAGUCGAUAAUGAUGUCAUAUCGACAAUCUUUACCAAAAAGAAGCAAUUUUCCUUUCUUACCAGACAGUUUGUCGGACUGAUUCGCCUUCUGAUUGUUCAUGAACUGAGCCAGCGAAGCCCACUGAUCUUGAGUGAAAUUUGGUAUUCCAGGGGAAAGAGACGAAGAAGAACCUUUUGUUACUGAUGUAGAAUCUCCCAGUUGAGUGUUGUAAGCACGAAAACCAGAACCUCUACCACCACGACCUCGUCCUUGAUUAUCAGAACCUCGGCCGCGAGAUCCUCCUCGUCCACCAUAAGACUUGCCCUUUUCCCACCAAUCAGGGAAACCAAUAACCUGAAAACAGUUAGUCGAAUCGUGUCCUUGCUUUCCACAAUGCGAGCAUACAGUUGAAGGCUUGCCAAAACGUGUUGCAGCUGCUUGAGGUGUUGAGGUUGCCGCAAAACCAACUACCGGUGCUUUUUCUUCUGCUCCACGCAUCACACUCAGAUGUCUUUCUUCUUGAAUAAUCUGAGAGUACACAGCGUCCAGAUUCAACUCCAUCUGUCGACUCAACAAGUUCGACCUCGUUGUUCCAAAACGAGCGUUGUCAAGCCCCAUCAGAAACUGAUGCAAUCGAAUUCUCUCCUGCAUCUUCUCGUAUGUGAUCAUUGAUGCGCAAUCCGCGCUUCCACAACAACAUGUGAAACCCUUCUCAAAAUCUGAAAGAUCAUCCCACAUCACCUUCAGUUUGCCGAAAUAGACUUCCACAGAUUCACCGUUCUGCUUACAAGCAGCAAUGUCUGCGUGCAACUGAUGAAUACGUGUGUCGAAUCUUCGUUGAAGACUCCCCCACAUUGCUUUCGCACUUUCCACCAAAGAUAUGGAUGGUCUCAGCUUAGGUUAAACACUGCUGUAUAUCCAGCCUAUGACCAUAGCGUUGACCAUAUCCCACUUUUCUCUUUCUUCUGAUUUGUCUACAGGACGUACAAAGUCCCAUCAACAAAACCUAUUUUUCGUUUGGUUCGAAGCGAAUUGAGCAUCAAUUUUGCCCAUCUUUCGUAAUUUCCUCCAUUCAAGAGAAUUGGUGAAAGAACAUGACUCGUAUUAUCUGAAGGAUGUAGAUAAUAUGGAGAAAUCAAAGCGUCUUUACCAGCAACAAUAGUUCCGGCUGCUGAAGACGUCGUAGAUAAGCUCGAAUCACUCAUCGUAAAAGAAUAUCGUCCACAAAAUUUUAUGAUCUUAGCUCUGAUAUCAUGCUAAGAAGUUGUAAACGUUUGUCUCUUAUUGAUGAACAUACAAUCGAGUAUUUAUACAUACGAUAGCCAUAUCGUAUCAUCCAAAAAUAUAGGCAAUAACAACAAGCGUAACUGAUAUCGAAACUUAUCUACUAGUCUUCUAUCAUUAUCCUAAUACUUGACAAUAUUAAAGACUACAAUAGAUUUGAAUAAACCAACGACCAUUGUCAGUUAAAUCUUUGAGAGUAGAUUAUGAUACAAGCAAACCUUCUGGACUCCUAAUUGCUGUUGGACCAAAACGAUGCUGGGCUUAACUCAUUCAUAAUAAAAUAAAUAUCAUAUUAAACCAAUUAAAAAUUUCUUCAUUUUUUUCUUCUUUUAGCUACGGUUAUUACACAACUCUUUUGAGCAUCUUGGACAGGACAGGCGUUAACCACACAAAGUUAUUUUUUCCCAGUUACAGAAUCAUUAAUAAGCCUGGGGGUUCAUUAAACGUUAAGCAACGUCGAAGAGUCCAAAAAUAAAGACAAGUAAAUGAUUAUUAAUUAAGCAUGGUUUUGUUAAUCAUAUAAUAUGUGGUCCGUAGCUAAUCCCCUAUAGAAUGGGCCAACAAUGUGUCUUAAAAGAAGACGCCAUAGAGAGACAAAAGCCACAUAAUGAGAUCUUUGUCUUGAAUUUUGCUUGAGUUUAUUGCACUUUAUUUUUCUUUAUACGGAAUGUGUAUGUUUCCCUGAAUAAUAAGUAUCAUUUAUCUUGGGCAAGCAAAUUAGUUAUUGGCUGGCACAAAAAUUACAGUUAUGAAUACAAAUAAAUGUAGUUAUAGUGUGUGUUUAGUUUAUGUUGAAAUGGGUCAAAAUUCUGGGUCGGUAUCAACCAAGACUUCCAGGGUGUCUUGUGGUUUGUUCUAGAUUCUUGCAUUUUAUCUCUUGAGUCGUUUGUUUGUGUUUCCUCUUUGUCUCUGGAAGAUGGUAUUUAGUUCUUGCCAGCUAUAGUCUCCGGGAGUAAUGGUUACUCACCGGCUUAGGGUAACAAACUUGUAGUUCCUUUAGUGUUAAAAAGCGAUUAUAUGAGUUAUUCAAUUGAUUUCUAUAUCUUUUUACUAAAUAAAACAAAUAUAAUUAUUUUUAACACAUAAUUAUUGUUGUUAUUAUUAUUAUUAUUAGUAUUAUUAUUAUUAUUAUUAUUACAAUACUAUCAUCAUCCAUAAACACUACUCCAUCUGUAUCAAAAUAAGUGAUUUUUAAGGUUUUUACACACUAAUUAAGAAAUUACAAAUUUUUAUUCAAUCUUUCUCGUUUGUCUAAAAACAACAAUAAAUACAUAUAAAUCAACCAAUAAAAAAUCAUACUGCAGAAUAUAAAUAGUCAAAAACAUAAAAUUGCAUUUACUUUUUACAUGAAAACUUGAAAACAUCACUUAAAAUGAAACAAAAAUUUUCUCUUAAAACAUCACUUAAAAUGAUACGGAGGGAGUAAUAAGUUUUGCAGAAAAUGUUAAUAGAUUAAAGAGGUUGAAUUGAAAUAUAUUAAAUAAAAAUACACAGAUAGAUUAUUCCAAAAUACUAAACAACACUAAACUAAUAAGUAGAACAUGUCUCAGUCUAGAGUCCAGACCACAAAAAAAAUCUAAAUCUUAAUUAAUAUAUGAACUAAAGAUUCCAUUUGCAUAUGAUACCAGUUAGAUUACGAAUAGAGAUUUGUUUUCUCUUCUUCUUUUGGUUGUCUUUGUAUACUUUUAUAUAAGCUUUUGCAUAAAGUCAUUGCUGCUUUCUGCUGAUAACUAAUAGUUUCGCAGACCGUGUGAGAACCUUCAGAGUUCAAAGAGAGUAUGUGUCUUUGACCUUUACAAUUCUAAAAAAAAAUCAUCAAACACCAUCACUUUAAUAGAUUAUCAAAAUAAAUAAAUAUUUCUAUUUACUUAUAUGAACAAUAAACAAAGUUAUACGAAACAAGAAGAGAUAGAUAAUGCCUCGUGACUAAAAAUCUAAAAGAGAGGAACAUGUGGGAUCGUUUAGGGAUCCAAAACACCUUAAAGAGUUUAGACAAUAUCAUGACACGAACACUACAUCACUUGGAUCUCAUUCUUUGAUUGUCCCCACAAGAAGUCAAACACUGAGCUGGCAAGUCUCUGACUGCCGUACCCAUGUCGCCACGUGCCCCGCUUCAAACUCCUUAUAUAAACACAAGUUAAAACUAAUAAACACAUUCACUUACACACAAGUACACCGUUUUGCAUAUGGAGGACGACCAGAGAACUACCCCAAACUCCGGCGAAAAAAGCCCGGAUACAUCGCCGGAGAUGUCAUCCUCCGACUUCGAGUUUGGAUCUUUGACUCCUUCUUCCCCUUCCCAUUCAGAACAUUCUCCCGCCGAUCACCUUUUUCUCAACGGCCGUCUAUUACCACACACUUUUCCGAUGACCCGUUCGGCGUCACGUACGACCAGCGAAAACACAUUCCGGAGCGACAGCACGAGCAGCCGGAGUAGUGUUAGCAGUAGCCCGACAUCUUUUACUCCAAGAACAAGCACUUGCAGUGUCUUCAAAGAAGAAACUAACGUAACUUGUUUUGGUUCUCGGUCUGAGAAGACUAGGAGCGUAAAGUCAGGGACUUGCGGCAUGAGAAACAUGUCAUCCUCAAUAUUGGAUUUAAAGAAGCCACCAUCGAACAAUGGUAAAAGAGUAUAUACUACGACGACGAAUAGGCUUUCAUAUAUCCCCACGCAGUGCAAGAGAAAGAAGGCGACGGAGAUAGUGACGGCGCAGCUUUACGGGUCGUAUACGAGGCGGUGGCAGCAUAUAACUCCGGUGUUUAAAAGAGAAGGGUCGGUGAAAAGUAACGGAGGAGGGAUUAAGGUUGGUGGAAGGAAGAAAAAGACGGUGAGGGGGAAGAAGAAGAAGAAGGCGGAGGAGAGAAGAGGAAGUAAGUUAAUGAAGUGGUGGAAGAGGGUUUUAAAGGCGGUGAUGUUGGCUUGCAGAGAGUGUCAUGCAAUGGAGCCUCAACGAGUUGUUAAUUAUGAUGCUGAUGUAAAAGAGAAAAUAACUAAAUGUUCAUAAAGAAUUGCAUUGUGUGUGUUUUGUUUUUACCUAUUUGCUUAAAACAAUUUCCCAAUAAAAAAUAAACUAAGAGGAAAUUAAAAAAUAAUACCAAAUAGGUGCGAGCCGGCACAGUUUAUGCGGAGUGUGCGAACUAAUAAGACCAUGAUUAACCACGGUUCUUAGGGUGAGGUUCAUACUUCGGCUAAGAACCGUUUCUUAGCUUUUAACUAAGAAAAGCUAAGAACCGUCUCUUAAAUAAGAGAUAUAAGAGCAUUAUUAACUCCGGCUAAGUUCUUAACUCAUGAUAUUGUAAUUUUUUUUUUUUUUUACUUUUUUUUGCUAAGAGACGGUUUUUAUAUCUCUUAGUCGAAGCUAAGAACCCCUGUUAAGAGACUCGGGUUAAUCAUGGUCUAAGAGCUGCCUCUUAGACAAAAAGUGUAAAAAAAAAAUGUCAAAUCAUGAGUUAAGAAUCCCAAAUUAAAAAUACGGAUUAAUCAUGCUCUGAUAUAUAUAUUCUACAAAUUUGGAGUUUGCCUCGGAAGAUGAUGCUCCAAUUGACCUCCAUCCUGCCAUUAACAUCACCAACAAUCCAUCCUCAUGAUUGCGAACCAAACACUCACAUGAUGACAAGAGGUGAAAGGUCAAUUAAACUAAGUCAAAAAGUUUAAGAAAUGGAAUGAAAACAGUUAUGGAGAGAAAAGCAUCUCUCGGGAGGAUGUAGUAACCGCUAGGAUCGGGUAUCCGGGGAAUUUUAAGGUAUCCGGAUCCGGAUUCUUAUCCGGCGGAUCCAUAAUUUUACUAUCCUUAUCCGGAUCCGGGGUUCUCGGAUAUCCGGGUGUCGGAUAUCCUUCUAAAAAUUGUAAUAUCCGGCGGAUAUCCGGAUCCGGAUAUGGAUCCUUAAAAUAAAUAAAAAUAAUAAUAUUAAUAUAUAUAAAAUAUUAACAAUAAUUUAAAACAAAAAAUAUAUAAUGUUUUGAAUUAUUUCUAUGUAUAAAAUUACAAAACUUACAUAAAAUUUACAUAUACUAUUAUAAAAAUGAAAAUAUAUUAAAUAAAAUUAGUUUUUAUAUAUAGAUAUUACUAUUUUUGAAAUAAUUAUUAAUAAAACUUACGGAUCUGGAUAUCCGGAAUCACAUCAAUUAUUAAAAUAACUUUUGUUUGGUUCAUAAAGAACAAAAGAUAUUGUUAAAUUCUUGUGAAAACUAUGGACCUUGUGUACUAUUGCAUUACAGUGUCAGUCCAGUAAAGACACUAUCUAUAAGGCAAUCAGUUAUAUCUUCAAAAUAACAUGGAUCUUCAUUUUGAAUCAAAAAUAAACAAACAAAUGGAAAUCUCACACUUCUAUUGUCUAAAACAAACAAACAAAUGAAAAUGUCAAGAACAUCUUAAAAGUUUCUAUACCCAAUCUACGUAUGUCGUUUUCUUUCUUCUCCACUAAUUAUUUUUCCCUGACCUAGCACAUCAACGUGAUCAUGCACUUAUUCCACAAUAGAAGCGCACAAGAAGACAAUGGUACAUAUCCCCACUUUACUUCACCACUUUAAAAUGGUUCGACCUCGUCAAUAAUAUCACCAAGUCCAAUUCCUCAACUUUGCUAAACUUACAAGAGCUUCUCCCCAAAAAUGGAUGGUAAGAAAACACAAGGACAAGGGUAUCUGAAAAAGAAGGCUAGUGUGUCUUACCUUGUGGAAGAAGAAUUGGAGAAUGAUACAGAUGGAGAGGAGGAAGAGAAGAGGAAAUGUGUGACUGAUAGGUUUAAAGGAUCUAGCGGCAGCAAUGAUCGUGGCUCAUCACGGCUUUGCCAAGUAGAUAGAUGCACAGCUGAUCUGAAAGAAGCUAAACAGUAUCACCGGAGGCACAAAGUGUGUGAAGUUCAUGCAAAGGCAUCUUCUGUCUAUCUCACAGGCGUUAAACAACGGUUCUGUCAACAAUGCAGCAGGUACCUGACAAACACAAACGUUACCCUUCAAUACGUUUAUUGCAUACUUUUAUUUAGUUUUCAUAACUAAGCUUUUUUGUAGAGGAUUAGUGGCUAAUUAGUCGUAAUUUAGACCAAAAUCUAAACGUUAAUGAAUUAUUUAUUUAUUUAUUAUAUAGAUAUUUAUUAAAUUUUGGAUUUAGUUAUAAUUUUAUUUUGAUGAAUUAUAAAAAAAAAACUAGAUAUACAAAAGAAUCAUACAAACUUGUGGACUUCACUAAUUUUGUUUUUAUUUAUUUAACCGCUAUAGACUAACCUUAACCAUUUUACCUUUUUAGGAUAGUUUAAAUGGAUUUGAACCAUUUAAAUCGGAUUAAAAAAAUUGGUUUGGUUAUUACCGAUUUGCUGUCUAGGCGACCAACUUAUAUAGAAACAUUGAUUUUAUUAUAUAGCCAUAUAUGUUUGAAACAGGUUCCAUGAGCUCCUAGAGUUUGAUGAAGCUAAAAGAAGUUGCCGGAAGCGCUUAGCUGGACACAACGAGAGGCGGAGGAAGAGCUCCGGUGAAAGUAUUAUUGGAGAAGGGUCAGGUGGUCGAAGAGGAAUAACAGCUCAGAUGAUCCAGAUUAAUCAAGAAAGAUCAAGGGUAGAGAUGACACUUCCUAUGUCAAACACAUCAUUCAAGCGACCACAGAUUAGAUAGAGAAGCUGUCUGCUCUCUCUCUUCUGUCAUUAUAAAUUUCUCUUAGAAUCUGAAAUUGUGGUAUCCAACAAUGUCAAAAAAGAAACAACUGAGUCAUGGUAUUGACUCCUCCUGGUAUAGAUAAAUAACUAAUAAAUACCACUCUUCUAUCUAUGUAUUGUUGUGGUGUUACCUAUCUCCAAAUGCUAAGACUUUGGCUUAACCUUGAGUCGAAAUAAGUCUACUGUGUCAUGUAUGUUUUCGAAGAUGUAUGAUAUGUUAUGCUAAUUGGUAAAAG